CGAGAAGGGCGUUUGGUGGAUGCCUUGGCAGUAAGAGGCGAUGAAGGACGUGAUACUCUGCGAUAAGUCAUGGGGAGCCGAGAAUAGGCUUUGAUCCCAGGAUUUCCGAAUGGGGGAACCCACUUGAAAGUUUGAUAUAAUAGCCUUCGGGCUGCUUAUAUCUGGCUUAAUCAAGUACUUAUUACCUGAAUACAUAGGGUUUUAAGAGCAAACCCGGGGAACUGAAACAUCUAAGUACC
rnacentral:rRNA from 15 species